GUGCUCGCUUUGGCAGCAUAUAUACUAAAAUUGGAACGGUACAGAGAAGAUUGGCACAGAUGACACUCAAAUUCGUGAAGCAUUCCAUGUUUUU
rnacentral:snRNA from 1 species